AGACUUUCUGCCCUGUCAAAAUGAUGUCAACAUCUAAACAACUACACAGCAGAGUGUACAGCAGCUACGAACAUUUCAUGUCUGUUGUUGACAGUUUGGACAAAUGAACUGUGAAUAUGCUGCAUUGUACAUGUUGUAAAUAGUUGCCAUACUCUUUAUAUAUUGUUGAUAGUUGCCAUUUUCAUGUACAUAUUGUAAAUAGUUGCCAUACUCUUUAUAUAUUGUUAAUAGUUGCCAUUUUCAUGUACAUGUGCUUUUAUAAAUUGUAAAUAGCCUUCAUUUUUACUCAUUUAAUUCUCUAUCCUAUUCAAUUACAUCUUUUAAGUUAUCUAAACUGUAGUUGUUUUGGUGUAGGUAGAAAUUCUACUUGCAUGUCAUUGGACAAAUUGUAAAUCAUUUCAAUUUUCAUGUACAUGUUCUUUUUAUGACAUUGUAUUCAUUAUCGUGUUCAGUGAUACUUUGUUUACGCGCUGUUUUUUUCCCCUCCAAGUGUGUGUCCCUCAUUUCAUGCAGUUUGUUCAGUAAAGUGUUCAGUAACAA